rnacentral:rRNA from 1 species
UACGGGGGGGGCAAGCGUUGUUCGGAAUUACUGGGCGUAAAGGGUUUGUAGGUGGCUCGCUAAGUCAGACGUGAAAUCCCUCAGCUUAACUGGGGAACUGCGUCUGAGACUGGCAAGCUUGAGUGCAGGAGAGGAACGCGGAAUUCCAGGUGUAGCGGUGAAAUGCGUAGAUAUCUGGAGGAGCACCGGUGGCGAAGGCGGCGUUCUGGACUGUAACUGACACUGAGGAACGAAAGCCAGGGGAGCAAACGGG